GACGAACGCUGGCGGCGUGCUUAACACAUGCAAGUCGAACGGAAAGGCCCUGCUUUUGUGGGGUGCUCGAGUGGCGAACGGGUGAGUAACACGUGAGUAACCUGCCCUUGACUGUGGGAUAACUUCAGGAAACUGGGGCUAAUACCGGAUAGGAGCUCCUGCUGCAUGGUGGGGGUUGGAAAGUUUCGGCGGUUGGUGAUGGACUCGCGGCUUAUCAGCUUGUUGGUGGGGUAGUGGCUUACCAAGGCUUUGACGGGUAGCCGGCCUGAGAGGGUGACCGGACACAUUGGGACUGAGAUACGGCACAGACUACUACGGGAGGCAGCAGUGGGGAAUAUUGCACAAUGGGAGGAAGCCUGAUGCAGCAACGCAGCGUGCGGGAUGACGGCAUUCGGGUUGUAAACCGCUUUCGCCUGUGACGAAGCGUGAGUGACGGUAAUGGGUAAAGAAGCACCGGCUAACUACGUG
rnacentral:rRNA from 1 species